UGGUCUACCAGAGAGGGCACAUGUGCCUCAAUUGGCCUAUAGCAUAGCGACUCAUUAUCCUUCCACCGCUGGUGGCGGGCGAUACUCGCUGCUCUGUGAAGCCAGCCUCACGCAAUGUCCGCCACUUUAGGUGUUGGGAUGCAAAGGCUUUCUCCAAGGCAUCCGAAACCCACUACACAACUUGGAAUGGGUGGUCCACAGUUUGUAGCACUAGACCCAGGCACAUGCACCACAAUUGACAUCCACACUACCUUAUUGCCCCCGCUCGGGUUACAAGCAAUCGCUACUUGCUCAGCGAGUGAGGGGGUUCAAGACUACCUAUUUAAGGUGGUGUUGUACUCUAUGAGCCGACAGUGUGGUAUUUACCAACUACAAAUAGUGUCAUGCAUGUGACUUGCUAGUUGACAAUGUCUGUUGUCGAGCUAGAUGUGGGCUAUGGAUGAAGCACAUUAGGAUAUAGUAGGCCUAUUUUGUUUUUUGUUGUUUUUGGGCCACUAUGGACUUUAUGUUGAUGUUGUGAAAUUUUUUCCUGUGUUUCCUCUUCCUACGAUGUGGAAAGUGGGUGCGUCAGAGAAGAAAGAAAGAGUAGCUAGCAUUGAUUUUACGUCAUACCAUUGAGAACACUAAUCAGAAGCAGAAGCAACAAUAUUUCAUACAUAUACAACACUUGUAAUCCAUAUAAACAACUUUCCUUUAAAAUAUAAUAUAAACCACUUGAUUUAUAUCCUGGGUCGGCUAUCUCCACAAAGGGCAAGAAAACGCACCAAGUUUGUAGUAUAGAACUAAAAGUGUCGAUUCUCACGAUUUCUUCCCAACAUAUACAAACUAGACAGUAAUCACAUAAAAUAAAGAAAUAUGUGUUAACACGAACUUAUAGCAUGUAUUUCAACAUAUAGAUUGUUGAUUAUUAUGGUAGAUUAUAUAAAAUAGGGGUUCCCGAAGAAAUACAUAAAAACAAGAGCAUUAAAAGUUCCUUUUCAGAUCUGGCUAUCUAGUAAAAGGAGUUGGAGUAACUGAGUUUCCAAAUUUGUGACGUAGCUCUAUAGAAGGAAUAUAAAUACGUUGGAAAAAUUCUACAAGGAAAGGUCUAAUACAAGUAGGGCUAAGAAAAACUCAAUGAGGCUUUGGUCACAUGGUCACAAAACUUGAGACAAGAAACACGAAGACACCAAGGUAAUUAGUAUGAGAGUUUUCCAAAUUUGGUGUCUUGAUGUAGAAAAAAUAAAUAUAUGACAAACUUGUUUUUUCGCAAGGCAUGGAUAAAUAAGUGGGGGUGAACAAUAAAUUUCAUCCUAGAUUUAGAAGGAAUAAAUAUAUCACUAAAUACGUUUUUUCACAAUGCCAAGUUAAUCAGGUGGGAGCGAGAAACAAUUCUAGCGAGGCUAGUUUGUACUAGCCCAAAACUACAUACAACAGAGGAAAAAUGAAGAAAAUGAUGGUCUACCAAAUAGGGCGCAUGAGCCUUAAGGUGCACCUAGAGGGAAGUAGAAGAAAUAAAUAUAUAAUAGCAUAUGUUUUUCGCAAUGCAAGGUAAAGUGUAGAUGUGCUCUAACUGGGCUUAGAUUGCAGCGACACAUUAUGCAUCUACAAGGCUUGGUUGCACAUGGAAAAAGAUAGAGAGAGAAAUGUAGACGCAGGACCGGGAGAAAAACAUUCAAUGAGACAUGAUUGCACGGACAUAGAACUAGAUAUAAGACAAGAGUUAAAGAAAAAUAAAGGAACUAAAUUUUCUUCUACACACUCAGCAUGAAUGGAGUUGUAGUAUCUGAGAUCAAAAUUUAAUUUAUUCCAAGAUGCAGAACAAAAACGUGAUACUCGUAAUGGUUACAUAGGAACAAAAGUAGAUAAGAAAAAUAGCAAAAAGAUAGUGGUCUACCAGAGAGGGCACAUGUGCCUCAAUUGGCCUAUAGCAUAGCGACUCAUUAUCCUUCCACCGCUGGUGGCGGGCGGUACUCGCUGCUCUAUGAAGCCAGCCUCACGCAAUGUCCGCCACUUUAGGUGUUGGGAUGCAAAGGCUUUCGCCAAGGCAUCCGAAACCCACUACACAACUUGGAAUGGGUGGUCCACAGUUUGUAGCACUAGACCCAGGCACAUGCACCACAAUUGACAUCCACACUACCUUAUUGCCCCCGCUCGGGUUACAAGCAAUCGCUACUUGCUCAGCGAGUGAGGGGGUUCAAGACUACCUAUUUAAGGUGGUGUUGUACUCUAUGAGCCGACAGUGUGGUAUUUACCAACUACAAAUAGUGUCAUGCAUGUGACUUGCUAGUUGACAAUGUCUGUUGUCGAGCUAGAUGUGGGCUAUGGAUGAAGCACAUUAGGAUAUAGUAGGCCUAUUUUGUUUUUUGUUAUUUUUGGGCCACUAUGGACUUUAUGUUGAUGUUGUGAAAUUUUUUCUUGUGUUUCCUCUUCCUACGAUGUGGAAAGUGGGUGCGUCAGAGAAGAAAGAAAGAGUAGCUAGCAUUGAUUUUCCGUCAUACCAUUGAGAACACUAAUCAGAAGCAGAAGCAACAAUAUUUCAUACAUAUACAACACUUGUAAUCCAUAUAAACAACUUUCCUUUAAAAUAUAAUGUAAACCACAUGAUUUAUAUCUAGGGUCGGCUAUCUCCACAAAGGGCAAGAAAACGCUCCAAGUUUGUAGUAUAGAACUAAAAGUGUCGAUUCUCACGAUUUCUUCCCGACAUAUACAAACUAGACAGUAAUCACAUAAAAUAAAGAAAUAUGUGUUAACACGAACUUAUAGCAUGUAUUUCAACAUAUAGAUUGUUGAUUAUUAUGGUAGAUUAUAUAAAAUAGGGGUUCCCGAAGAAAUACGUAAAAACAAGAGCAUUAAAAUUUCCUUUUCAGAUCUGGCUAUCUAGUAAAAGGAGUUGGAGUAACUGAGUUUCCAAAUUUGUGACGUAGCUCUAUAGAAGGAAUAUAAAUACGUUGGAAAAAUUCUACAAGGAAAGGUCUAAUACAAGUAGGGCUAAGAAAAACUCAAUGAGGCUUUGGUCGCAUGGUCACAAAACUUGAGACAAGAAACACGAAGACACCAAGGUAAUUAGUAUGAGAGUUUUCCAAAUUUGGUGUCUUGAUGUAGAAAAAAUAAAUAUAUGACAAACUUGUUUUUUCGCAAGGCAUGGAUAAAUAAGUGGGGGUGAACAAUAAAUUCAUCCUAGAUUUAGAAGGAAUAAAUAUAUCACUAAAUACGUUUUUUCACAAUGCCAAGUUAAUCAGGUGGGAGCGAGAAACAAUUCUAGCGAGGCUAGGUUGUACUAGCCCAAAACUACAUACAACAGAGGAAAAAUGAAGAAAAUGGUGGUCUACCAAAUAGGGCGCAUGAGCCUUAAGGUGCACCUAGAGGGAAGUAGAAGAAAUAAAUAUAUAAUAGCAUAUGUUUUUCGCAAUGCAAGGUAAAGUGUAGAUGUGCUCUAACUGGGCUUAGAUUGUAGCGACACAUUAUGCAUCUACAAGGCUUGGUUGCUCAUGGAAAAAGAUAGAGACAGAAAUGUAGACGCAGGACCGGGAGAAAAACAUUCAAUGAGACGUGAUUGCACGGACAUAGAACUAGUUAUAAGACAAGAGUUAAAGAAAAAUAAAGGAACUAAAUUUUCUUCUGCACACUAAGCAUGAAUGGAGUUGUAGUAUCUGAGAUCAAAAUUUAAUUUAUUCCAAGAUGCAGAACAAAAACGUGAUACUCGUAAUGGUUACAUAGGAACAAAAGUAGAUAAGAAAAAUAGCAAAAAGAUAGUGGUCUACCAGAGAGGGCACAUGUGCCUCAAUUGGCCUAUAGCAUAGCGACUCAUUAUCCUUCCACCGCUGGUGGCGGGCGGUACUCGCUGCUCUGUGAAGCCAACCUCACGCAAUGUCCGCCACUUUAGGUGUUGGGAUGCAAAGGCUUUCGCCAAGGCAUCCGAAACCCACUACACAACUUGGAAUGGGUGGUCCACAGUUUGUAGCACUAGACCCAGGCACAUGCACCACAAUUAACAUUCACACUACCUUAUUGCCCCCGCUCGGGUUACAAGCAAUCGCUACUUGCUCAGCGAGUGAGGGGGUUCAAGACUACCUAUUUAAGGUGGUGUUGUACUGUAUGAGCCGGCGGUGUGGUAUUUACCAACUACAAAUAGUGUCAUGCAUGUGACUUGCUAGUUGACAAUGUCUGUUGUCGAGCUAGAUGUGGGCUAUGGAUGAAGCACAUUAGGAUAUAGUAGGCCUAUUUUGUUUUUUGUUGUUUUUGGGACACUAUGGACUUUAUGUUGAUGUUGUGAAAUUUUUUCUUGUGUUUCCUUUUCCUACGAUGUGGAAAGUGGGUGCGUCAGAGAAGAAAGAAAGAGUGGCUAGCAUUGAUUUUACGUCAUACCGUUGAGAACACUAAUCAGAAGCAGAAGCAACAAUAUUUCAUACAUAUACAACACUUGUAAUCCAUAUAAACAACUUUCCUUUAAAAUAUAAGAUAAACCACAUGAUUUAUAUCCUGGGUCGGCUAUCUCCACAAAGGGCAAGAAAACGCUCCAAGUUUGUAGUAUAGAACUAAAAGUGUCGAUUCUCACGAUUUCUUCCCGACAUAUACAAACUAGACAGUAAUCACAUAAAAUAAAGAAAUAUGUGUUAACAAGAACUUAUACCAUGUAUUUCAACAUAUAGAUUGUUGAUUAUUAUGGUAGAUUAUAUAAAAUAGGGGUUCCCGAAGCAAUACAUAAAAACAAGAGCAUUAAAAUUUCCUUUUCAGAUUUGGCUAUCUGGUAAAAGGAGUUGGAGUAACUGAGUUUCCAAAUUUGUGCCGUAGCUCUAUAGAAGGAAUAUAAAUACGUUGGAAAAAUUCUAUAAGGAAAGGUUUAAUACAAGUAGGGCUAAGAAAAACUCAAUGAGGCUUUGGUCGCAUGGUCACAAAACUUGAGACAAGAAACACGAAGACACCAAGGUAAUUAGUAUGAGAGUUUUCCAAAUUUGGUGUCUUGAUGUAGAAAAAUAAAUAUAUGAAAAACUUGUUUUUUCGCAAGGCAUGGAUAAAUAAGUGGGGGUGAGCAAUAAAUUUCAUCCUUGAUUUAGAAGGAAUAAAUAUAUCACUAAAUACGUUUUUUCACAAUGCCAAGUUAAUCAGGUGGGACCGAGAAACAAUUCUAGCGAGGCUAGGUUGUACUAGCCCAAAACUACAUACUACAGAGGAAAAAUGAAGAAAAUGAUGGUCUACCAAAUAUGGCGCAUGAGCCUUAAGGUGCACCUAGAGGGAAGUAGAAGAAAUAAAUAUAUAAUAGCAUAUGUUUUUCGCAAUGCAAGGUAAAGUGUAGAUGUGCUCUAACUAGGCUUAGAUUGCAGCGACACAUUAUGCAUCUACAAGGCUUGGUUGCACAUGGAAAAAGAUAGAGAGAGAAAUGUAGACGCAGGACCGAGAGAAAAACAUUCAAUGAGACGUGAUUGCACGGACAUAGAACUAGAUAUAAGACAAGAGUUAAAGAAAAAUAAAGGAACUAAAUUUUCUUCUGCACACUAAGCAUGAAUGGAGUUGUAGUAUCUGAGAUCAAAAUUUAAUUUAUUCCAAGAUGCAGAACAAAAACGUGAUACUCGUAAUGGUUACAUAGGAACAAAAGUAGAUAAGAAAAAUAGCAAAAAGAUAGUGGUCUACCAGAGAGGGCACAUGUGCCUCAAUUGGCCUAUAGCAUAGCGACUCAUUAUCCUUCCACCGCUGGUGGCGGGCGGUACUCGCUGCUCUGUGAAGCCAGCCUCACGCAAUGUCCGCCACUUUAGGUGUUGGGAUGCAAAGGCUUUCGCCAAGGCAUCCGAAACCCACUACACAACUUGGAAUGGGUGUUCCACAAUUUGUAGCACUAGACCCAGGCACAUGCACCACAAUUGACAUCCACACUACCUUAUUGCCUCCGCUCGGGUUACAAGCAAUCGCUACUUGCUCAGCGAGUGAGGGGGUUCAAGACUACCUAUUUGAGGUGGUGUUGUACUCUAUGAGCCGGCGGUGUGGUAUUUACCAACUACAAAUAGUGUCAUGCAUGUGACUUGCUAGUUGACAAUGUCUGUUGUCGAGCUAGAUGUGGGCUAUGGAUGAAGCACAUUAGGAUAUAGUAGGCCUAUUUUGUUUUUUGUUGUUUUUGGGCCACUAUGGACUUUAUGUUGAUGUUGUGAAAUUUUUUCUUGUGUUUCCUCUUCAUACGAUGUGGAAAGUGGGUGCCGUCAGAGAAGAAAGAAAGAGCGGCUAGCAUUGAUUUUACGUCAUACCAUUGAGAACACUAAUUAGAAGCAGAAGCAACAAUAUUUCAUACAUAUACAACACUUGUAAUCCAUAUAAACAACAUUCCUUUAAAAUAUAAUAUAAACCACAUGAUUUAUAUCCUGGGUCAGCUAUCUCCACAAAGGGCAAGAAAACGCUCCAAGUUUGUAGUAUAGAACUAAAAGUGUCGAUUCUCACGAUUUCUUCCCGACAUAUACAAACUAGACAGUAAUCACAUAAAAUAAAGAAAUAUGUGUUAACACGAACUUAUAACAUGUAUUUCAACAUAUAGAUUGUUGAUUAUUAUGGUAGAUUAUAUAAAAUAGGGGUUCCCGAAGAAAUACAUAAAAACAAGAGCAUUAAAAUUUCCUUUUCAGAUCUGGCUAUCUGGUAAAAGGAGUUGGAGUAACUGAGUUUCCAAAUUUGUGACGUAGCUCUAUAGAAGGAAUAUAAAUACGUUGGAAAAAUUCUACAAGGAAAGGUUUAAUACAAGUAGGGCUAAGAAAAACUCAAUGAGGCUUUGGUCGCAUGGUCACAAAACUUGAGACAAGAAACACGAAGACACCAAGGUAAUUAGUAUGAGAGUUUUCCAAAUUUGGUGUCUUGAUGUAGAAAAAAUAAAUAUAUGACAAACUUGUUUUUUCGCAAGGCAUGGAUAAAUAAGUGGGGGCGAGCAAUAAAUUUCAUCCUAGAUUUAGAAGGAAUAAAUAUAUCACUAAAUACGUUUUUUCAUAAUGCCAAGUUAAUCAGGUGGGAGCGAGAAACAAUUCUAGCGAGGUUAGGUUGUACUAGCCCAAAACUACAUACAACAGAGGAAAAAUGAAGAAAAUGAUGGUCUACCAAAUAUGGCGCAUGAGCCUUAAGGUGCACGUAGAGGGAAGUAUAAGAAAUAAAUAUAUAAUAGCAUAUGUUUUUCGCAAUGCAAGGUAAAGUGUAGAUGUGCUCUAACUGGGCUUAGAUUGCAGCGACACAUUAUGCAUCUACAAGGCUUGGUUGCACAUGGAAAAAGAUAGAGAGAGAAAUGUAGACACAGGACCGGGAGAAAAACAUUCAAUGAGACAUGAUUGCACGGACAUAGAACUAGAUAUAAGACAAGAGUUAAAGAAAAAUAAAGGAACUAAAUUUUCUUCUACACACUCAGCAUGAAUGGAGUUGUAGUAUCUGAGAUCAAAAUUUAAUUUAUUCCAAGAUGCAGAACAAAAACGUGAUACUCGUAAUGGUUACAUAGGAACAAAAGUAGAUAAGAAAAAUAGCAAAAAGAUAGUGGUCUACCAGAGAGGGCACAUGUGCCUCAAUUGGCCUAUAGCAUAGCGACUCAUUAUCCUUCCACCGCUGGUGGCGGGCGGUACUCGCUGCUCUGUGAAGCCAGCCUCACGCAAUGUCCGCCACUUUAGGUGUUGGGAUGCAAAGGCUUUCGCCAAGGCAUCCGAAACCCACUACACAACUUGGAAUGGGUGUUCCACAGUUUGUAGCACUAGACCAUGGCACAUGCACCACAAUUGACAUCCACACUACCUUAUUGCCCCCGCUCGGGUUACAAGCAAUCACUACUUGCUCAUCAAGUGAGGGGGUUCAAGACUACCUAUUUAAGGUGGUGUUGUACUCUAUGAGCCGACGGUGUGGUAUUUACCAACUACAAAUAGUGUCAUGCAUGUGACUUGCUAGUUGACAAUGUCUGUUGUCGAGCUAGAUGUGGGCUAUGGAUGAAGCACAUUAGGAUAUAGUAGGCCUAUUUUGUUUUUUGUUGUUUUUGGGCCACUAUGGACUUUAUGUUGACGUUGUGAAAUUUUUUCUUGUGUUUCCUCUUCCUACGAUGUGGAAAGUGGGUGCCGUCAGAGAAGAAAGAAAGAGUGGCUAGCAUUGAUUUUACGUCAUACCAUUGAGAACACUAAUCAGAAGCAGAAGCAACAAUAUUUCAUACAUAUACAACACUUGUAAUCCAUAUAAACAACUUUCCUUUAAAAUAUAAUAUAAACCACAUGAUUUAUAUCCUGGGUCGGCUAUCUCCACAAAGGGCAAGAAAACGCUCCAAGUUUGUAGUAUAGAACUAAAAGUGUCGAUUCUCACGAUUUCUUCCCGACAUAUACAAACUAGACAGUAAUCACAUAAAAUAAAGAAAUAUGUGUUAACACGAACAUAUAGCAUGUAUUUCAACAUAUAGAUUGUUGAUUAUUAUGGUAGAUUAUAUAAAAUAGGGGUUCCCGAAGAAAUACAUAAAAACAAGAGCAUUGAAAUUUCCUUUUCAGAUCUGGCUAUCUGGUAAAAGGAGUUGGAGUAACUGAGUUUCCAAAUUUGUGACGUAGCUCUAUAGAAGGAAUAUAAAUACGUUGGAAAAAUUCUACAAGGAAAGGUUUAAUACAAGUAGGGCUAAGAAAAACUCAAUGAGGCUUUGGUCGCAUGGUCACAAAACUUGAGACAAGAAACACGAAGACACCAAGGUAAUUAGUAUGAGAGUUUUCCAAAUUUGGUGUCUUGAUGUAGAAAAAAUAAAUAUAUGACAAACUUGUUUUUUCGCAAGGCAUGGAUAAAUAAGUGGGGGCGAGCAAUAAAUUUCAUCCUAGAUUUAGAAGGAAUAAAUAUAUCACUAAAUACGUUUUUUCAUAAUGCCAAGUUAAUCAGGUGGGAGCGAGAAACAAUUCUAGCGAGGCUAGGUUGUACUAGCCCAAAACUACAUACAACAGAGGAAAAAUGAAGAAAAUGAUGGUCUACCAAAUAUGGCGCAUGAGCCUUAAGGUGCACCUAGAGGGAAGUAGAAGAAAUAAAUAUAUAAUAGCAUAUGUUUUUCGCAAUGCAAGGUAAAGUGUAGAUGUGCUCUAACUGGGCUUAGAUUGCAGCGACACAUUAUGCAUCUACAAGGCUUGGUUGCACAUGGAAAAAGAUAGAGAGAGAAAUGUAGACACAGGACCGGGAGAAAAACAUUCAAUGAGACAUGAUUGCACGGACAUAGAACUAGAUAUAAGACAAGAGUUAAAGAAAAAUAAAGGAACUAAAUUUUCUUCUGCACACUCAGCAUGAAUGGAGUUGUAGUAUCUGAGAUCAAAAUUUAAUUUAUUCCAAGAUGCAGAACAAAAACGUGAUACUCGUAAUGGUUACAUAGGAACAAAAGUAGAUAAGAAAAAUAGCAAAAAGAUAGUGGUCUACCAGAGAGGGCACAUGUGCCUCAAUUGGCCUAUAGCAUAGCGACUCAUUAUCCUUCCACCGCUGGUGGCGGGCGGUACUCGCUGCUCUGUGAAGCCAGCCUCACGCAAUGUCCGCCACUUUAGGUGUUGGGAUGCAAAGGCUUUCGCCAAGGCAUCCGAAACCCACUACACAACUUGGAAUGGGUGGUCCAAAGUUUGUAGCACUAGACCCAGGCACAUGCACCACAAUUGACAUCCACACUACCUUAUUGCCCCCGCUCGGGUUACAAGCAAUCGCUACUUGCUCAGCGAGUGAGGGGGUUCAACACUACCUAUUUAAGGUGGUGUUGUACUCUAUAAGCCGGCGGUGUGGUAUUUACCAACUACAAAUAGUGUCAUGCAUGUGACUUGCUAGUUGACAAUGUCUGUUGUCGAGCUAGAUGUGGGCUAUGGAUGAAGCACAUUAUGAUAUAGUAGGCCUAUUUUGUUUUUUGUUGUUUUUGGGCCACUAUGGACUUUAUGUUGAUGUUGUGAAAUUUUUUCUUGUGUUUCCUCUUCCUACGAUGUGUAAAGUGGGUGUGUUAGAGAAGAAAGAAAGAGUGGCUAGCAUUGAUUUUACGUCAUACCAUUGAGAACACUAAUCAGAAGCAGAAGCAACAAUAUUUCAUACAUAUACAACACUUGUAAUCCAUAUAAACAACUUUCCUUUAAAAUAUAAUAUAAACCACAUGAUUUAUAUCCUGGGUCGGCUAUCUCCACAAAGGGCAAGAAAACGCUCCAAGUUUGUAGUAUAGAACUAAAAGUGUCGAUUCUCACGAUUUCUUCCCGACAUAUACAAACUAGACAGUAAUCACAUAAAAUAAAGAAAUAUGUGUUAACACGAACUUAUAGCAUGUAUUUCAACAUAUAGAUUGUUGAUUAUUAUGGUAGAUUAUAUAAAAUAGGGGUUCCCAAAGAAAUACAUAAAACAAGAGCAUUAAAAUUUCCUUUUCAGAUCUGGCUAUCUGGUAAAAGGAGUUGGAGUAACUGAGUUUCCAAAUUUGUGACGUAGCUCUAUAGAAGGAAUAUAAAUACGUUGGAAAAAUUCUACAAGGAAAGGUUUAAUACAAGUAGGGCUAAGAAAAACUCAAUGAGGCUUUGGUCGCAUGGUCACAAAACUUGAGACAAGAAACACGAAGACACAAAGGUAAUUAGUAUGAGAGUUUUCCAAAUUUGGUGUCUUGAUGUAGAAAAAAUAAAUAUAUGACAAACUUGUUUUUUCGCAAGGCAUGGAUAAAUAAGUGGGGGUGAGCAAUAAAUUUCAACCUAGAUUUAGAAGGAAUAAAUAUAUCACUAAAUACAUUUUUUACAAUGCCAAGUUAAUCAGGUAGGAGCGAGAAACAAUUCUAGCGAGGCUAGGUUGUACUAGCCCAAAACUACAUACAAAAGAGGAAAAAUGAAGAAAAUGAUGGUCUACCAAAUAUGGCACAUGAGCCUUAAGGUGCACCUAGAGGGAAGUAGAAGAAUAAAUAUAUAAUAGCAUAUGUUUUUCGCAAUGCAAGGUAAAGUGUAGAUGUGCUCUAACUGGGCUUAGAUUGCAGCGACACAUUAUGCAUCUACAAGGCUUGGUUGCACAUGGAAAAAGAUAGAGAGAGAAAUGUAGACGCAGGACCGGGAGAAAAACAUUCAAUGAGACGUGAUUGCACGGACAUAGAACUAGAUAUAAGACAAGAGUUAAAGAAAAAAGGAACUAAAUUUUCUUGUGCACACUAAGCAUGAAUGGAGUUGUAGUAUCUGAGAUCAAAAUUUAAUUUAUUCCAAGAUGCAGAACAAAAACGUGAUACUCGUAAUGGUUACAUAGGAACAAAAGUAGAUAAGAAAAAUAGCAAAAAGAUAUUGGUCUACCAGAGAGGGCACAUGUGCCUCAAUUGGCCUAUAGCAUAGUGGCUCAUUAUCCUUCAACCGCUGGUGGCGGGCGGUACUCGCUGCUCUGUGAAGCCAGCCUCACGCAAUGUCCGCCACUUUAGGUGUUGGGAUGCAAAGGCUUUCGCCAAGGCAUCCGAAACCCACUACACAACUUGGAAUGGGUGGUCCACAGUUUGUAGCACUAGACCCAGGCACAUGCACCACAAUUGACAUUCACACUACCUUAUUGCCCCCGCUCGGGUUACAAGCAAUCGCUACUUGCUCAGCGAGUGAGGGGGGUUCAAGACUACCUAUUUAAGGUGGUGUUGUACUGUAUGAGCCGGCGGUGUGGUAUUUACCAACUACAAAUAGUGUCAUGCAUGUGACUUGCUAGUUGACAAUGUCUGUUGUGGAGCUAGAUGUGGGCUAUGGAUGAAGCACAUUAGGAUAUAGUAGGCCUAUUUUGUUUUUUGUUAUUUUUGGGCCACUAUGGACUUUAUGUUGAUGUUGUGAAUUUUUUUCUUGUGUUUCCUCUUCCUACGAUGUGGAAAGUGGGUGCGUCAGAGAAGAAAGAAAGAGUGGCUAGCAUUGAUUUUACGUCAUACCAUUGAGAACACUAAUCAGAAGCAGAAGCAACAAUAUUUCAUACAUAUACAACACUUGUAAUCCAUAUAAACAACUUUCCUUUCAAAUAUAAUAUAAACCACAUGAUUUAUAUCCUGGGUCGGCUAUCUCCACAAAGGGCAAGAAAACGCUCCAAGUUUGUAGUAUAGAACUAAAAGUGUCGACUCUCACGAUUUCUUCCCGACAUAUGCAAACUAGACAGUAAUCACAUAAAAUAAAGAAAUAUGUGUUAACACAAACUUAUAACAUGUAUUUCAACAUAUAGAUUUUUGAUUAUUAUGGUAGAUUAUAUAAUAUAGGGGUUCCCGAAGAAAUACAUAAAAAACAAGAGCAUUAAAAUUUCCUUUUCAGAUCUGGCUAACUGGUAAAGGGAGUUGGAGUAUCUGUGUUUCCAAAUUUGGGACGUCGCUCUAUAGAAGGAAUAUAAAUACAUUGGAAAAAAAUUCUACAAGGAAAGGUUUAAUACAAGUAGGGCUAAGAAAAACUCAAUGAGGCUUUGGUCGCAUGGUCACAAAACUUGAGACAAGAAACACGAAGACACCAAGGUAAUUAGUAUGAGAGUUUUCCAAAUUUGGUGUCUUGAUGUAGAAAAAAUAAAUAUAUGACAAACUUGUUUUUUCGCAAGGCAUGGAUAAAUAAGUGGGGGUGAGCAAUAAAUUUCAUCCUAGAUUUAGAAGGAAUAAAUAUAUCACUAAAUACGUUUUUUCAUAAUGCCAAGUUAAUCAGGUGGGAGCGAGAAACAAUUCUAGCGAGGCUAGGUUGUACUAGCCCAAAACUACAUACAACAGAGGAAAAAUGAAGAAAAUGAUGGUCUACCAAAUAUGGCGCAUGAGCCUUAAGGUGCACCUAGAGGGAAGUAGAAGAAAUAAAUAUAUAAUAGCAUAUGUUUUUCUCAAUGCAAGGUAAAGUGUAGAUGUGCUCUAACUGGGCUUAGAUUGCAGCGACACAUUAUGCAUCUACAAGGCUUGGUUGCACAUGGAAAAAGAUAGAGAGAGAAAUGUAGACACAGGACGGGGAGAAAAACAUUCAAUGAGACAUGAUUGCACGGACAUAGAACUAGAUAUAAGACAAGAGUUAAAGAAAAAUAAAGGAACUAAAUUUUCUUCUGCACACUCAGCAUGAAUGGAGUUGUAGUAUCUGAGAUCAAAAUUUAAUUUAUUCCAAGAUGCAGAACAAAAACGUGAUACUCGUAAUGGUUACAUAGGAACAAAAGUAGAUAAGAAAAAUAGCAAAAAGAUAGUGGUCUACCAGAGAGGGCACAUGUGCCUCAAUUGGCCUAUAGCAUAGCGACUCAUUAUCCUUCCACCGCUGGUGGCGGGCGGUACUCGCUGCUCUGUGAAGCCAGCCUCACGCAAUGUCCGCCACUUUAGGUGUUGGGAUGCAAAGGCUUUCGCCAAGGCAUCCGAAACCCACUACACAACUUGGAAUGGGUGGUCCACAGUUUGUAGCACUAGACCCAGGCACAUGCACCACAAUUGACAUCCACACUACCUUAUUGCCCCCGCUCGGGUUACAAGCAAUCGCUACUUGCUCAGCGAGUGAGGGGGUUCAAGACUACCUAUUUAAGGUGGUGUUGUACUCUAUAAGCCGGCGGUGUGGUAUUUACCAACUACAAAUAGUGUCAUGCAUGUGACUUGCUAGUUGACAAUGUCUGUUGUCGAGCUAGAUGUGGGCUACGGAUGAAGCACAUUAUGAUAUAGUAGGCCUAUUUUGUUUUUUGUUGUUUUUGGGCCACUAUGGACUUUAUGUUGAUGUUGUGAAAUUUUUUCUUGUGUUUCCUCUUCCUACGAUGUGGAAAGUGGGUGUGUUAGAGAAGAAAGAAAGAGUGGCUAGCAUUGAUUUUACGUCAUACCAUUGAGAACACUAAUCAGAAGCAGAAGCAACAAUAUUUCAUACAUAUACAACACUUGUAAUCCAUAUAAACAACUUUCCUUUAAAAUAUAAUAUAAACCACAUGAUUUAUAUCCUGGGUCGGCUAUCUCCACAAAGGGCAAGAAAACGCUCCAAGUUUGUAGUAUAGAACUAAAAGUGUCGAUUCUCACGAUUUCUUCCCGACAUAUACAAACUAGACAGUAAUCACAUAAAAUAAAGAAAUAUGUGUUAACACAAACUUAUAGCAUGUAUUUCAACAUAUAGAUUGUUGAUUAUUAUGGUAGAUUAUAUAAAAUAGAGGUUCCCGAAGAAAUACAUAAAAACAAGAGCAUUAAAAUUUCCAUUUCAGAUCUGGCUAUCUGGUAAAAGGAGUUGGAGUAACUGAGUUUCCAAAUUUGUGACGUAGCUCUAUAGAAGGAAUAUAAAUACGUUGGAAAAAUUCUACAAGGAAAGGUUUAAUACAAGUAGGGCUAAGAAAAACUCAAUGAGGCUUUGGUCGCAUGGUCACAAAACUUGAGACAAGAAACACGAAGACACCAAGGUAAUUAGUAUGAGAGUUUUCCAAAUUUGGUGUCUUGAUGUAGAAAAAAUAAAUAUAUGACAAACUUGUUUUUUCGCAAGGCAUGGAUAAAUAAGUGGGGGCGAGCAAUAAAUUUCAUCCUAGAUUUAGAAGGAAUAAAUAUAUCACUAAAUACGUUUUUUCAUAAUGCCAAGUUCAUCAGGUGGGAGCGAGAAACAAUUCUAGCGAGGUUAGGUUGUACUAGCCCAAAACUACAUACAACAGAGGAAAAAUGAAGAAAAUGAUGGUCUACCAAAUAUGGCGCAUGGGCCUUAAGGUGCACCUAGAGGGAAGUAUAAGAAAUAAAUAUAUAAUAGCCUAUGUUUUUCGCAAUGCAAGGUAAAGUGUAGAUGUGCUCUAACUGGGCUUAGAUUGCAGCGACACAUUAUGCAUCUACAAGGCUUGGUUGCACAUGGAAAAAGAUAGAGAGAGAAAUGUAGACACAGGACGGGGAGAAAAACAUUCAAUGAGACAUGAUUGCACGGACAUAGAACUAGAUAUAAGACAAGAGUUAAAGAAAAAUAAAGGAACUAAAUUUUCUUCUGCACACUCAGCAUGAAUGGAGUUGUAGUAUCUGAGAUCAAAAUUUAAUUUAUUCCAAGAUGCAGAACAAAAACGUGAUACUCGUAAUGGUUACAUAGGAACAAAAGUAGAUAAGAAAAAUAGCAAAAAGAUAGUGGUCUACCAGAGAGGGCACAUGUGCCUCAAUUGGCCUAUAGCAUAGCGACUCAUUAUCCUUCCACCGCUGGUGGCAGGCGGUACUCGCUGCUCUGUGAAGCCAGCCUCACGCAAUGUCCGCCACUUUAGGUGUUGGGAUGCAAAGGCUUUCGCCAAGGCAUCCGAAACCCACUACGCAACUUGGAAUGGGUGGUCCACAGUUUGUAGCACUAGACCCAGGCACAUGCACCACAAUUGACAUCCACACUACCUUAUUGCCCCCGCUCGGGUUACAAGCAAUCGCUACUUGCUCAGCGAGUGAGGGGGUUCAAGACUACCUAUUUAAGGUGGUGUUGUACUCUAUAAGCCGGCGGUGUGGUAUUUACCAACUACAAAUAGUGUCAUGCAUGUGACUUGCUAGUUGACAAUGUCUGUUGUCGAGCUAGAUGUGGGCUAUGGAUGAAACACAUUACGAUAUAGUAGGCCUAUUUUGUUUUUUGUUGUUUUUGGGCCACUAUGGACUUUAUGUUGAUGUUGUGAAAUUUUUUCUUGUGUUUCCUCUUCCUAUGAUGUGGAAAGUGGGUGGGUUAGAGAAGAAAGAAAGAGUGGCUAGCAUUGAUUUUACGUCAUACAAUUGAGAACACUAAUCAGAAGCAGAAGCAACAAUAUUUCAUACAUAUACAACACUUGUAAUCCAUAUAAACAACUUUCCUUUAAAAUAUAAUAUAAACCACAUGAUUUAUAUCCUGGGUCGGCUAUCUCCACAAAGGGCAAGAAAACGCUCCAAGUUUGUAGUAUAGAACUAAAAGUGUCGAUUCUCACGAUUUCUUCCCGACAUAUACAAACUAGACAGUAAUCACAUAAAAUAAAGAAAUAUGUGUUAACACGAACUUAUAGCAUGUAUUUCAACAUAUAGAUUGCUGAUUAUUAUGGUUGAUUAUAUAAAAUAGGGGUUCCCGAAGAAAUACAUAAAAACAAGAGCAUUAAAAUUUCCUUUUCAGAUCUGGCUAUCUGGUAAAAGGAGUUGGAGUAACUGAGUUUCCAAAUUUGUGACGUAGCUCUAUAGAAGGAAUAUAAAUACGUUGGAAAAAUUCUACAAGGAAAGGUUUAAUACAAGUAGGGCUAAGAAAAACUCAAUGAGGCUUUGGUCGCAUGGUCACAAAACUUGAGACAAGAAACACGAAGACACCAAGGUAAUUAGUAUGAGAGUUUUCCAAAUUUGGUGUCUUGAUGUAGAAAAAAUAAAUAUAUGACAAACUUGUUUUUUCGCAAGGCAUGGAUAAAUAAGUGGGGGUGAGCAAUAAAUUUCAUCCUAGAUUUAGAAGGAAUAAAUAUAUCACUAAAUACGUUUUUUACAAUGCCAAGUUAAUUAGGUGGGAGCGAGAAACAAUUCUAGCGAGGCUAGGUUGUACUAGCCCAAAACUACAUACAACAGAGGAAGAAUGAAGAAAAUGAUGGUCUACCAAAUAUGGCACAUGAGCCUUAAGGUGCACCUAGAGGGAAGUAGAAGAAUAAAUAUAUAAUAGCAUAUGUUUUUCGCAAUGCAAGGUAAAGUGUAGAUGUGCUCUAACUGGGCUUAGAUUGCAGCGACACAUUAUGCAUCUACAAGGCUUCGUUGCACAUGGAAAAAGAUAGAGAGAGAAAUGUAGACGCAGGACCGGGAGAAAAACAUUCAAUGAGACGUGAUUGCACGGACAUAGAACUAAGUAUAAGACAAGAGUUAAAGAAAAAAGGAACUAAAUUUUCUUGUGCACACUAAGCAUGAAUGGAGUUGUAGUAUCUGAGAUCAAAAUUUAAUUUAUUCCAAGAUGCAGAACAAAAACGUGAUACUCGUAAUGGUUACAUAGGAACAAAAGUAGAUAAGAAAAAUAGCAAAAAGAUAUUGGUCUACCAGAGAGGGCACAUGUGCCUCAAUUGGCCUAUAGCAUAGUGGCUCAUUAUCCUUCCACCGCUGGUGGCGGGCGGUACUCGCUGCUCUGUGAAGCCAGCCUCACGCAAUGUCCGCCACUUUAGGUGUUGGGAUGCAAAGGCUUUCGCCAAGGCAUCCGAAACCCACUACACAACUUGGAAUGGGUGGUCCACAGUUUGUAGCAAUAGACCCAGGCACAUGCACCACAAUUGACAUUCACACUACCUUAUUGCCCCCGCUCGGGUUACAAGCAAUCGCUACUUGCUCAGCGAGUGAGGGGGUUCAAGACUACCUAUUUAAGGUGGUGUUGUACUGUAUGAGCCGGCGGUGUGGUAUUUACCAACUACAAAUAGUGUCAUGCAUGUGACUUGCUAGUUGACAAUGUCUAUUGUCGAGCUAGAUGUGGGCUAUAGAUGAAGCACAUUAGGAUAUAGUAGGCCUAUUUUGUUUUUUGUUGUUUUUGGGCCACUAUGGACUUUAUGUUGAUGUUGUGAAAUUUUUUCUUGUGUUUCCUCUUCCUACGAUGUGGAAAGUGGGUGCUUCAGAGAAGAAAGAAAGAGUGGCUAGCAUUGAUUUUACGUCAUACCAUUGAGAACACUAAUCAGAAGCAGAAGCAACAAUAUUUCAUACAUAUACAACACUUGUAAUCCAUAUAAACAACUUUCCUUUCAAAUAUAAUAUAAACCACAUGAUUUAUAUCCUGGGUCGGCUAUCUCCACAAAGGGCAAGAAAACGCUCCAAGUUUGUAGUAUAGCACUAAAAGUGUCGACUCUCACGAUUUCUUCCCGACAUAUGCAAACUAGACAGUAAUCACAUAAAAUAAAGAAAUAUGUGUUAACACAAACUUAUAGCAUGUAUUUCAACAUAUAGAUUUUUGAUUAUUAUGGUAGAUUAUAUAAUAUAGGGGUUCCCGAAAAAAUACAUAAAAAACAAGAGCAUUAAAAUUUCCUUUUCAGAUCUGGCUAACUGGUAAAGGGAGUUGGAGUAUCUGAGUUUCCAAAUUUGGGACGUCGCUCUAUAGAAGGAAUAUAAAUACAUUGGAAAAAAUUCUACAAGGAAAGGUUUAAUACAAGUAGCGCUAAGAAAAACUCAAUGAGGCUUUGGUCGCUUGGUCACAAAACUUGAGACAAGAAACACGAAGACACCAAGGUAAUUAGUAUGAGAGUUUUCCAAAUUUGGUGUCUUGAUGUAGAAAAAAUAAAUAUAUGACAAACUUGUUUUUUCGCAAGGCAUGGAUAAAUAAGUGGGGGUGAGCAAUAAAUUUCAUCCUAGAUUUAGAAGGAAUAAAUAUAUCACUAAAUACGUUUUUUCACAAUGCCAAGUUAAUCAGGUGGGAGCGAGAAACAAUUCUAGCGAGGCUAGGUUGUACUAGCCCAAAACUACAUACAACAGAGGAAAAAUAAAGAAAAUGAUGGUCUACCAAAUAGGGCGCAUGAGCCUUAAGGUGCACCUAGAGGGAAGUAGAAGAAAUAAAUAUAUAAUAGCAUAUGUUUUUCGCAAUGCAAGGUAAAGUGUAGAUGUGCUCUAACUGGGCUUAGAUUGCAGCGACACAUUAUGCAUCUACAAGGCUUGGUUGCACAUGGAAAAAGAUAGAGAGAGAAAUGUAGACGCAGGACCGGGAGAAAAACAUUCAAUGAGACGUGAUUGCACGGACAUAGAACUAGAUAUAAGACAAGAGUUAAAGAAAAAUAAAGGAACUAAAUUUUCUUCUGCACACUAAGCAUGAAUGGAGUUGUAGUAUCUGAGAUCAAAAUUUAAUUUAUUCCAAGAUGCAGAACAAAAACGUGAUACUCGUAAUGGUUACAUAGGAACAAAAGUAGAUAAGAAAAAUAGCAAAAAGAUAGUGGUCUACCAGAGAGGGCACAUGUGCCUCAAUUGGCCUAUAGCAUAGCGACUCAUUAUCCUUCCACCGCUGGUGGCGGGCGGUACUCGCUGCUCUGUGAAGCCAGCCUCACGCAAUGUCCGCCACUUUAGGUGUUGGGAUGCAAAGGCUUUCGCCAAGGCAUCCGAAACCCACUACACAACUUGGAAUGGGUGGUCCACAGUUUGUAGCACUAGACCCAGGCACAUGCACCACAAUUGACAUCCACACUACCUUAUUGCCCCCGCUCGGGUUACAAGCAAUCGCUACUUGCUCAGCGAGUGAGGGGGUUCAAGACUACCUAUUUAAGGUGGUGUUGUACUCUAUGAGCCGGCGGUGUGGUAUUUACCAACUACAAAUAGUGUCAUGCAUGUGACUUGCUAGUUGACAAUGUCUGUUGUCAAGCUAGGUGUGGGCUAUGGAUGAAGCACAUUAGGAUAUAGUAGGCCUAUUUUGUUUUUUGUUGUUUUUGGGCCACUAUGGACUGUAUGUUGAUGUUGUGAAAUUUUUUUCUUGUGUUUCCUCUUCCUACGAUGUGGAAAGUGGGUGCGUCAGAGAAGAAAGAAAGAGUGGCUAGCAUUGAUUUUACGUCAUACCAUUGAGAACACUAAUCAGAAGCAGAAGCAACAAUAUUUCAUACAUAUACAACACUUGUAAUCCAUAUAAACAACAUUCCUUUAAAAUAUAAUAUAAACCACAUGAUUUAUAUCCUGGGUCGGCUAUCUCCACAAAGGGCAAGAAAACGCUCCAAGUUUGUAGUAUAGCACUAAAAGUGUCGAUUCUCACGAUUUCUUCCCGACAUAUACAAACUAGACAGUAAUCACAUAAAAUAAAGAAAUAUGUGUUAACACGAACUUAUAACAUGUAUUUCAACAUAUAGAUUGUUGAUUAUUAUGGUAGAUUAUAUAAAAUAGGGGUUCCCGAAGAAAUACAUAAAAACAAGAGCAUUAAAAUUUCCUUUUCAGAUCUGGCUAUCUGGUAAAAGGAGUUGGAGUAACUGAGUUUCCAAAUUUGUGACGUAGCUCUAUAGAAGGAAUAUAAAUACGUUGGAAAAAUUCUAUAAGGAAAGGUUUAAUACAAGUAGGGCUAAGAAAAACUCAAUGAGGCUUUGGUCGCAUGGUCACAAAACUUGAGACAAGAAACACGAAGACACCAAGGUAAUUAGUAUGAGAGUUUUCCAAAUUUGGUGUCUUGAUGUAGAAAAAAUAAAUAUAUGACAAACUUGUUUUUUCGCAAGGCAUGGAUAAAUAAGUGGGGGUGAGCAAUAAAUUUCAUCCUAGAUUUAGAAGGAAUAAAUAUAUCACUAAAUAUGUUUUUUCACAAUGCCAAGUUAAUCAGGUGGGAGCGAGAAACAAUUCUAGCGAGGCUAGGUUGUACUAGCCCAAAACUACAUACAACAGAGGAAAAAUGAAGAAAAUGAUGGUCUACCAAAUAUGGCGCAUGAGCCUUAAGGUGCACCUAGAGGGAAGUAGAAGAAAUAAAUAUAUAAUAGCAUAUGUUUUUCGCAAUGCAAGGUAAAGUGUAGAUGUGCUCUAACUGGGCUUAGAUUGCAGCGACACAUUAUGCAUCUACAAGGCUUGGUUGCACAUGGAAAAAGAUAGAGAGAGAAAUGUAGACGCAGGACCGGGAGAAAAACAUUCAACGAGACGUGAUUGCACGGACAUAGAACUAGAUAUAAGACAAGAGUUAAAGAAAAAUAAAGGAACUAAAUUUUCUUCUGCACACUAAGCAUGAAUGGAGUUGUAGUAUCUGAGAUCAAAAUUUAAUUUAUUCCAAGAUGCAGAACAAAAACGUGAUACUCGUAAUGGUUACAUAGGAACAUAAGUAGAUAAGAAAAAUAGCAAAAAGAUAGUGGUCUACCAGAGAGGGCACAUGUGCCUCAAUUGGCCUAUAGCAUAGCGACUCAUUAUCCUUCCACCGCUGGUGGCGGGCGGUACUCGCUGCUCUGUGAAGCCAGCCUCACGCAAUGUCUGCCACUUUAGGUGUUGGGAUGCAAAGGCUUUCGCCAAGGCAUCCGAAACCCACUACACAACUUGGAAUGGGUGGUCCACAGUUGGUAGCACUAGACCCAGGCACAUGCACCACAAUUGACAUCCACACUACCUUAUUGCCCCCGCUCGGGUUACAAGCAAUCGCUACUUGCUCAGCGAGUGAGGGGGUUCAAGACUACCUAUUUAAGGUGGUGUUGUACUCUAUGAGCCGGUGGUGUGGUAUUUACCAACUACAAAUAGUGUCAUGCAUGUGACUUGCUAGUUGACAAUGUCUGUUGUCAAGCUAGGUGUGGGCUAUGGAUGAAGCACAUUAGGAUAUAGUAGGCCUAUUUUGUUUUUUGUUGUUUUUGGGCCACUAUGGACUUUAUGUUGAUGUUGUGAAUUUUUUUUCUUGUGUUUCCUCUUCCUACAAUGUGGAAAGUGGGUGCGUCAGAGAAGAAAGAAAGAGUGGCUAGCAUUGAUUUUACGUCAUACCAUUGAGAACACUAAUCAGAAGCAGAAGCAACAAUAUUUCAUACAUAUACAACACUUGUAAUCCAUAUAAACAACAUUCCUUUAAAAUAUAAUAUAAACCACAUGAUUUAUAUCCUGGGUCGGCUAUCUCCACAAAGGGCAAGAAAACGCUCCAAGUUUGUAGUAUAGCACUAAAAGUGUCGAUUCUCACGAUUUCUUCCCGACAUAUACAAACUAGACAGUAAUCACAUAAAAUAAAGAAAUAUGUGUUAACACGAACUUAUAGCAUGUAUUUCAACAUAUAGAUUGUUGAUUAUUAUGGUAGAUUAUAUAAAAUAGGGGUUCCCGAAGAAAUACAUAAAAACAAGAGCAUUAAAAUUUCCUUUUCAGAUCUGGCUAUCUGGUAAAAGGAGUUGGAGUAACUGAGUUUCCAAAUUUGUGACGUAGCUCUAUAGAAGGAAUAUAAAUACGUUGGAAAAAUUCUAUAAGGAAAGGUUUAAUACAAGUAGGGCUAAGAAAAACUCAAUGAGGCUUUGGUCGCAUGGUCACAAAACUUGAGACAAGAAACACGAAGACACCAAGGUAAUUAGUAUGAGAGUUUUCCAAAUUUGGUGUCUUGAUGUAGAAAAAAUAAAUAUAUGACAAACUUGUUUUUCGCAAGGCAUGGAUAAAUAAGUGGGGGUGAGCAAUAAAUUUCAUCCUAGAUUUAGAAGGAAUAAAUAUAUCACUUAAUAUGUUUUUUCACAAUGCCAAGUUAAUCAGGUGGGAGCGAGAAACAAUUCUAGCGAGGCUAGGUUGUACUAGCCCAAAACUACAUACAACAGAGGAAAAAUGAAGAAAAUGAUGGUCUACCAAAUAUGGUGCAUGAGCCUUAAGGUGCACCUAGAGGGAAGUAGAAGAAAUAAAUAUAUAAUAGCAUAUGUUUUUCGCAAUGCAAGGUAAAGUGUAGAUGUGCUCUAACUGGGCUUAGAUUGCAGCGACACAUUAUGCAUCUACAAGGCUUGGUUGCACAUGGAAAAAGAUAGAGAGAGAAAUGUAGACGCAAGACCGGGAGAAAAACAUUCAAUGAGACGUGAUUGCACGGACAUAGAACUAGAUAAAAGACAAGAGUUAAAGAAAAAUAAAGGAACUAAAUUUUCUUCUGCACACUAAGCAUGAAUGGAGUUGUAGUAUCUGAGAUCAAAAUUUAAUUUAUUCCAAGAUGCAGAACAAAAACGUGAUACUCGUAAUGGUUACAUAGGAACAUAAGUAGAUAAGAAAAAUAGCAAAAAGAUAGUGGUCUACCAGAGAGGGCACAUGUGCCUCAAUUGGCCUAUAGCAUAGCGACUCAUUAUCCUUCCACCGCUGGUGGCGGGCGGUACUCGCUGCUCUGUGAAGCCAGCCUCACGCAAUGUCCGCCACUUUAGGUGUUGGGAUGCAAAGGCUUUUGCCAAGGCAUCCGAAACCCACUACACAACUUGGAAUGGGUGGUCCACAGUUUGUAGCACUAGACCCAGGCACAUGCACCACAAUUGACAUCCACACUACCUUAUUGCCCCCGCUCGGGUUACAAGCAAUCGCUACUUGCUCAACGAGUGAGGGGGUUCAAGACUACCUAUUUAAGGUGGUGUUGUACUCUAUGAGCCGGCGGUGUGGUAUUUACCAACUACAAAUAGUGUCAUGCAUGUGACUUGCUAGUUGACAAUGUCUGUUGUCAAGCUAGGUGUGGGCUAUGGAUGAAGCACAUUAGGAUAUAGUAGGCCUAUUUUGUUUUUUGUUGUUUUUGGGCCACUAUGGACUUUAUGUUGAUGUUGUGAAUUUUUUUUCUUGUGUUUCCUCUUCCUACGAUGUGGAAAGUGGGUGCGUCAGAGAAGAAAGAAAGAGUGGCUAGCAUUGAUUUUACGUCAUACCAUUGAGAACACUAAUCAGAAGCAGAAGCAACAAUAUUUCAUACAUAUACAACACUUGUAAUCCAUAUAAACAACAUUCCUUUAAAAUAUAAUAUAAACCACAUGAUUUAUAUCCUGGGUCAGCUAUCUCCACAAAGGGCAAGAAAACGCUCCAAGUUUGUAGUAUAGCACUAAAAGUGUCGAUUCUCACGAUUUCUUCCCGACAUAUACAAACUAGACAGUAAUCACAUAAAAUAAAGAAAUAUGUGUUAACACGAACUUAUAGCAUGUAUUUCAACAUAUAGAUUGUUGAUUAUUAUGGUAGAUUAUAUAAAAUAGGGGUUCCCGAAGAAAUACAUAAAAACAAGAGCAUUAAAAUUUCCUUUUCAGAUCUGGCUAACUGGUAAAGGGAGUUGGAGUAUCUGAGUUUCCAAAUUUGGGACGUCGCUCUAUAGAAGGAAUAUAAAUACAUUGGAAAAAAUUCUACAAGGAAAGGUUUAAUACAAGUAGCGCUAAGAAAAACUCAAUGAGGCUUUGGUCGCUUGGUCACAAAACUUGAGACAAGAAACACGAAGACACCAAGGUAAUUAGUAUGAGAGUUUUCCAAAUUUGGUGUCUUGAUGUAGAAAAAAUAAAUAUAUGACAAACUUGUUUUUUCGUAAGGCAUGGAUAAAUAAGUGGGGGUGAGCAAUAAAUUUCAUCCUAGAUUUAGAAGGAAUAAAUAUAUCACUAAAUAGGUUUUUUCACAAUGCCAAGUUAAUCAGGUGGGAGCGAGAAACAAUUCUAGCGAGGCUAGGUUGUACUAGCCCAAAACUACAUACAACAGAGGAAAAAUGAAGAAAAUGAUGGUCUACCAAAUAUGGCGCAUGAGCCUUAAGGUGCACCUAGAGGGAAGUAGAAGAAAUAAAUAUAUAAUGGCAUAUGUUUAUCGCAAUGCAAGGUAAAGUGUAGAUGUGCUCUAACUGGGCUUAGAUUGCAGCGACACAUUAUGCAUCUACAAGGCUUGGUUGCACAUGGAAAAAGAUAGAGAGAGAAAUGUAGAUGCAGGACCGGGUGAAAAACAUUCAAUGAGACGUGAUUGCACGGACAUAGAACUAGAUAUAAGACAAGAGUUAAAGAAAAAUAAAGGAACUAAAUUUUCUUCUGCACACUAAGCAUGAAUGGAGUUGUAGUAUCUGAGAUCAAAAUUUAAUUUAUUCCAAGAUGCAGAACAAAAAUGUGAUACUCGUAAUGGUUACAUAGGAGCAAAAGUAGAUAAGAAAAAUAGCAAAAAGAUAGUGGUCUACCAGAGAGGGCACAUGUGCCUCAAUUGUCUUAUAGCAUAGCGACUCAUUAUCCUUCCACCGCUGGUGGCGGGCGGUACUCGCUGCUCUGUGAAGCCAGCCUCACGCAAUGUCCGCCACUUUAGGUGUUGGGAUGCAAAGACUUUCGCCAAGGCAUCCGAAACCCACUACACAACUUGGAAUGGGUGGUCCACUGUUUGUAGCACUAGACCCAGGCACAUGCACCACAAUUGACAUCCACACUACCUUAUUGCCCCGCUCGGGUUACAAGCAAUCGCUACUUGCUCAGCGAGUGAGGGGGUUCAAGACUACCUAUUUAAGGUGGUGUUGUACUCUAUGAGCCGGCGGUGUGGUAUUUACCAACUACAAAUAGUGUCAUGCAUGUGACUUGCUAGUUGACAAUGUCUGUUGUCAAGCUAGGUGUGGGCUAUGGAUGAAGCACAUUAGGAUAUAGUAGGCCUAUUUUGUUUUUUGUUGUUUUUGGGCCACUAUGGACUUUAUGUUGAUGUUGUGAAAUUUUUUUCUUGUGUUUCCUCUUCCUACGAUGUGGAAAGUGGGUGCGUCAGAGAAGAAAGAAAGAGUGGCUAGCAUUGAUUUUACGUCAUACCAUUGAGAACACUAAUCAGAAGCAGAAGCAACAAUAUUUCAUACAUAUACAACACUUGUAAUCCAUAUAAACAACAUUCCUUUAAAAUAUAAUAUAAACCACAUGAUUUAUAUCCUGGGUCGGCUAUCUCCACAAAGGGCAAGAAAACGCUCCAAGUUUGUAGUAUAGCACUAAAAGUGUCGAUUCUCACGAUUUCUUCCCGACAUAUACAAACUAGACAGUAAUCACAUAAAAUAAAGAAAUAUGUGUUAACACGAACUUAUAGCAUGUAUUUCAACAUAUAGAUUUUUGAUUAUUAUGGUAGAUUAUAUAAAAUAGGGGUUCCCGAAGAAAUACAUAAAAACAAGAGCAUUAAAAUUUCCUUUUCAGAUCUGGCUAUCUGGUAAAAGGAGUUGGAGUAACUGAGUUUCCAAAUUUGUGACGUAGCUCUAUAGAAGGAAUAUAAAUACGUUGGAAAAAUUCUAUAAGGAAAGGUUUAAUACAAGUAGGGCUAAGAAAAACUCAAUGAGGCUUUGGUCGCAUGGUCACAAAACUUGAGACAAGAAACACGAAGACACCAAGGUAAUUAGUAUGAGAGUUUUCCAAAUUUGGUGUCUUGAUGUAGAAAAAAUAAAUAUAUGACAAAUUUGUUUUUUCGCAAGGCAUGGAUAAAUAAGUGGGGGUGAGCAAUAAAUUUCAUCCUAGAUUUAGAAGGAAUAAAUAUAUCACUAAAUACAUUUUUUCACAAUGCCAAAUUAAUCAGGUGGGAGCGAGAAACAAUUGUAGCGAGGCUAGGUUGUACUAGCCCAAAACUACAUACAACAGAGGAAAAAUGAAGAAAAUGAUGGUCUACCAAAUAUGGCGCAUGAGCCUUAAGGUGCACCUAGAGGGAAGUAGAAGAAAUAAAUAUAUAAUAGCAUAUGUUUUUCGCAAUGCAUGGUAAAGUGUAGAUGUGCUCUAACUGGGCUUAGAUUGCAGCGACACAUUAUGCAUCUACAAGGCUUGGUUGCACAUGGAAAAAGAUACAAAAAGAAAUGUAGACGCAGGACCGGGAGAAAAACAUUCAAUGAGACGUGAUUGCACGGACAUAGAACUAGAUAUAAGACAAGAGUUAAAGAAAAAUAAAGGAACUAAAUUUUCUUCUGCACACUAAGCAUGAAUGGAGUUGUAGUAUCUGAGAUCAAAAUUUAAUUUAUUCCAAGAUGCAGAACAAAAAUUUGAUACUCGUAAUGGUUACAUAGGAGCAAAAGUAGAUAAGAAAAAUAGCAAAAAGAUAGUGGUCUACCAGAGAGGGCACAUGUGCCUCAAUUGGCCUAUAGCAUAGCGACUCAUUAUCCUUCCACCGCUGGUGGCGGGCGGUACUCGCUGCUCUGUGAAGCCAGCCUCACACAAUGUCCGCCACUUUAGGUGUUGGGAUGCAAAGGCUUUCGCCAAGGCAUCCGAAACCCACUACACAACUUGGAAUGGGUGGUCCACUGUUUGUAGCACUAGACCCAGGCACAUGCACCACAAUUGACAUCCACACUACCUUAUUGCCCCGCUCGGGUUACAAGCAAUCGCUACUUGCUCAGCGAGUGAGGGGGUUCAAGACUACCUAUUUAAGGUGGUGUUGUACUCUAUGAGCCGGCGGUGUGGUAUUUACCAACUACAAAUAGUGUCAUGCAUGUGACUUGCUAGUUGACAAUGUCUGUUGUCAAGCUAGGUGUGGGCUAUGGAUGAAGCACAUUAGGAUAUAGUAGGCCUAUUUUGUUUUUUGUUGUUUUUGGGCCACUAUGGACUUUAUGUUGAUGUUGUGAAAUUUUUUUCUUGUGUUUCCUCUUCCUACGAUGUGGAAAGUGGGUGCGUCAGAGAAGAAAGAAAGAGUGGCUAGCAUUGAUUUUACGUCAUACCAUUGAGAACACUAAUCAGAAGCAGAAGCAACAAUAUUUCAUACAUAUACAACACUUGUAAUCCAUAUAAACAACAUUCCUUUAAAAUAUAAUAUAAACCACAUGAUUUAUAUCCUGGGUCGGCUAUCUCCACAAAGGGCAAGAAAACGCUCCAAGUUUGUAGUAUAGCACUAAAAGUGUCGAUUCUCACGAUUUCUUCCCGACAUAUACAAACUAGACAGUAAUCACAUAAAAUAAAGAAAUAUGUGUUAACACAAACUUAUAGCAUGUAUUUCAACAUAUAGAUUGUUGAUUAUUAUGGUAGAUUAUAUAAAAUAGGGGUUCCCGAAGAAAUACAUAAAAACAAGAGCAUUAAAAUUUCCUUUUCAGAUCUGGCUAUCUGGUAAAAGGAGUUGGAGUAACUGAGUUUCCAAAUUUGUGACGUAGCUCUAUAGAAGGAAUAUAAAUACGUUGGAAAAAUUCUAUAAGGAAAGGUUUAAUACAAGUAGGGCUAAGAAAAACUCAAUGAGGCUUUGGUCGCAUGGUCACAAAACUUGAGACAAGAAACACGAAGACACCAAGGUAAUUAGUAUGAGAGUUUUCCAAAUUUGGUGUCUUGAUGUAGAAAAAAUAAAUAUAUGACAAAUUUGUUUUUUCGCAAGGCAUGGAUAAAUAGGUGGGGGUGAGCAAUAAAUUUCAUCCUAGAUUUAGAAGGAAUAAAUAUAUCACUAAAUAUGUUUUUUCACAAUGCCAAGUUAAUCAGGUGGGAGCGAGAAACAAUUCUAGCGAGGCUAGGUUGUACUAGCCCAAAACUACAUACAACAGAGGAAAAAUGAAGAAAAUGAUGGUCUACCAAAUAUGGCGCAUGAGCCUUAAGGUGCACCUAGAGGGAAGUAGAAGAAAUAAAUAUAUAAUAGCAUAUAUUUUUCGCAAUGCAUGGUAAAGUGUAGAUGUGCUCUAACUGGGCUUAGAUUGCAGCGACACAUUAUGCAUCUACAAGGCUUGGUUGCACAUGGAAAAAGAUACAGAAAGAAAUGUAGACGCAGGACCGGGAGAAAAACAUUCAAUGAGACGUGAUUGCACAGACAUAGAACUAGAUAUAAGACAAGAGUUAAAGAAAAAUAAAGGAACUAAAUUUUCUUCUGCACACUAAGCAUGAAUGGAGUUGUAGUAUCUGAGAUCAAAAUUUAAUUUAUUCCAAGAUGCAGAACAAAAAUGUGAUACUCGUAAUGGUUACAUAGGAACAAAAGUAGUUAAGAAAAAUAGCAAAAAGAUAGUGGUCUACCAGAGAGGGCACAUGUGCCUCAAUUGGCCUAUAGCAUAGCGACUCAUUAUCCUUCCACCGCUGGUGGCGGGCGGUACUCGCUGCUCUGUGAAGCCAGCCUCACGCAAUGUCCGCCACUUUAGGUGUUGGGAUGCAAAGGCUUUCGCCAAGGCAUCCGAAACCCACUACACAACUUGGAAUGGGUGGUCCACAGUUUGUAGCACUAGACCCAGGCACAUGCACCACAAUUGACAUCCACACUACCUUAUUGCCCCCGCUCGGGUUACAAGCAAUCGCUACUUGCUCAGCGAGUGAGGGGGGGUCAAGACUACCUAUUUAAGGUGGUGUUGUACUCUAUGAGCAGGCGGUCUGGUAUUUACCAACUACAAAUAGUGUCAUGCAUGUGACUUGCUAGUUGACAAUGUCUGUUGUCGAGUUAGAUGUGGGCUAUGGAUGAAGCACAUUAGGAUAUAGUAGGCCUAUUUUGUUUUUUGUUGUUUUUGGGCCACUAUGGACUUUCUGUUGAUGUUGUGAAAUUUUUUCUUGUGUUUCCUCUUCCUACGAUGUGGAAAGUGGGUGCGUCAGAGAAGAAAGAAAGAGUGGCUAGCAUUGAUUUUACGUCAUACCAUUGAGAACACUAAUUAGAAGCAGAAGCAACAAUAUUUCAUACAUAUACAACACUUGUAAUCCAUAUAAACAACUUUCCUUUAAAAUAUAAUAUAAACCACAUGAUUUAUAUCCUGGGUCGGCUAUCUCUACAAAGGGCGAGAAAACGCUCCAAGUUUGUAGUAUAGAACUAAAAGUGUCGAUUCUCAUGAUUUUUCCGACAUAUACAAACUAGACAGUAAUCACAUAAAAUAAAGAAAUAUGUGUUAACACGAACUUAUAGCAUGUAUUUCAACAUACAUAUUGUUGAUUAUUAUGGUAGAUUAUAUAAAAUAGGGGUUCCCGAAGAAAUACAUAAAAACAAGAGCAUUAAAAUUUCCUUUUUAGAUCUGGCUAUCUGGUAAAAGGAGUUGGAGUAACUGAGUUUCCAAAUUUGUGACGUAGCUCUAUAGAAGGAAUAUAAAUACGUUGCAAAAAUUCUACAAGGAAAGGUUAAUACAAGUAGGGCUAAGAAAAACUCAAUUAGGCUUUGGUCGCAUGGUCACAAAACUUGAGACAAGAAACACGAAGACACCAAGGUAAUUAGUAUGAGAGUUUUCGAAAUUUGGUGUCUUGAUGUAGAAAAAAUAAAUAUAUGACAAACUUGUUUUUUCUCAAGGCAUGGAUUGAGAGCACCUAGAGGGGGGGGUGAAUAGGUGAUCCUGUGAAACUUGAAAACUUAAGCCACAAAACUUGGUUAAUCGUUAGCACAAUAAUUGCCAAGUGGCUAAAUAGGAAUCCUCAACAAAAUACAAUAACCAACAAAGAUCAAUCACAGAGAUGACACGGUGGUUAUCCCAUGGUUCGGCCAAGACCAACGCUUGCCUACUCCAUGUUGUGGCGUCCCAACGGACGAGGGUUGCAAUCAACCCCUCUCAAGCGGUCCAAAGACCCACUUGAAUACCACGGUGUUUUGCUUUGCUUAUCUUUAUCCCACUUGCGAGGAAUCUCCACAAAUUGGAGUCUCUCGCCCUUACACUUAAAGUUCACAAAGAAGCACGGAGUAAGGGAGGGAAGCAACACACACAAAUCCACAGCAAAAUGCGCACACACACGGCCAAGAAUCGAGCUCAAAAGACUAUCUCAAAGUUCUCACUAGAACGGAGCUCGAAUCACUGAGAAUGACAAACGAAUGCGCAAAGACUGAGUGUGGAUGAUCAAGAAUGCUCUAAGGUUGCUUGGUUUUUCUCCUCCAUGCGCCUAGGGGUCCCUUUUAUAGCCCCAAGGCGGCUAGGAGCCGUUGAGAACAAAUCUGGAAGGCCAUCCUUGCCUUCUGUCGUCGGGCGCACCGGACAGUCCGGUGCACACCGGACACUGUCCGGUGCCCGAUUUCCUUCCUUAAAUGGCGAAGCCGACCGUUGCAGAUGUGGGAGCCGUUGGCGCACCGGACAUGUCCGGUGCACACCGGACAGUCCGGUGCCCCCUUCCGACCGUUGGCUCGGCCACGUGUCGCGCGCGGAUUCCGUGGCCGACCGUUGGCCCGGCCGACCGUUGGCUCACCGGACAGUCCGGUGCACACCGGACAGUCCGGUGAAUUUUAGGCGUACGUCGCCGGUGAAUUCCCGAGAGCGGCCAGUUCGCUCGAGCCAGCCUGGCGCACCGGACACAGUCCGGUGCACCACCGGACAGUCCGGUGCCCCAGACCGAAACAGCCUCUUGGCUGUACACAGCCAACUCUUCUCUUUCCUUCUUCUUUUUGUUUCUGAUACUUAGACAAGUAUAUUAGUACACAAAACCAAUGUACUAAGACUUAGAAACAUACCUUUGCUCUUGAUUUGCACUUUGUCCAUUCAUGGGCAUAGAUUUACAUUUAAUUACUUGUGUUGGCACUCAAUCACCAAAAUACUUAGAAAUGGCCCAAGGGCACAUUUCCCUUUCAAUCUCCCCCUUUUUGGUGAUUUAUGCCAACACAACAUAAAGCAACUAGAACAAGUGCAAUAUUACUUCAAAUAAAAACUCAAAUUCAUUUUGAUUCAAUUUGGCAUAUAUGGAUCAUCCUUUGCCACCACUUGGUUUGUUUUUGCAAAUCAAACUCAAAAUCCUAUCUCUAAGUCAAAUCCACUUGUAGAGACAUAAAGAGAGGUUUUCCAUAGAAGAUUGAUUCAAGAUUCCAAAAACUCCCCCUUUUUCCCAUAAUCAACACUUCACCCCACAAGAGGCCAACUUUUGAUAAAAGAGACAAUGCAAGAGUAUUGACAAACCAAAAGCUCUAUCCUACUGUUUUCAAAGUUUCUCAAGUGGUAGCUGAUCCAUUUAUUGCUUUGGCCUUUAUUUUCUCCCCCUUUGGCGUCAAGCACCAAAACGGGAUCAAUCUUGGCCCUUUAACCCCAUUGCCUCACCAAAAUCUUCAAUUAAGAGCAAAUAGGCAAUAAGAGUUAAAAGAUGAACUUGGAAAAGUUACUCUUUUCAUCGGAGUGCAGUGGAAGUCUUGCAUGGUCCAAGUCCACCUUUUCCCUUUUAAUUCUCCUUCGAGACUAAAACAAGCAAACUCAAGCAUAUGGUUAGUCUCAAAGGGUCAAGUUGUAACACAUCUCCCCCUAAAACUGUGCAUCACUUUGCAACGGACUUGUGAGGUCCAGGGAGUGUUUGUACAACUUGAGCACCAUACUAAACAACAAAAUGCAAAAAGGAUCAUGAUCAAAAGCAUAAAUACAUGUAUGCUACAAUUCAAUCCAAGUUCCGCGAAUCUACGACAUUUAGCUCACUACGCAGCCUGCAAAAGGUCUUCUCAUCUAGAGGCUUGGUAAAGAUAUCGGCUAGCUGGUUCUCGGUGCUAACAUGAAACACUUCGAUAUCUCCCUUUUGCUGGUGAUCUCUCAAAAAGUGAUGCCGGAUGUCAAUGUGCUUUGUGCGGCUGUGUUCAACAGGAUUUUCCGCCAUGCGGAUAGCACUCUCAUUGUCACAUAGGAGUGGGACUUUGCUCAGAUUGUAGCCAAAGUCCCUGAGGGUUUGCCUCAUCCAAAGUAGUUGCGCGCAACACUGUCCUGCGGCAACAUACUCGGCCUCAGCGGUGGAUAGGGCAACGGAGGUUUGUUUCUUAGAGUUCCACGACACCAGGGACCUUCCUAAGAAUUGGCACGUCCCUGAUGUACUCUUCCUAUCGACCUUACAUCCAGCAUAGUCGGAAUCUGAGUUUCCAACCAAGUCAAAGGUAGACCCCUUUGGAUACCAGAGCCCGAAGCAAGGCGUAGCAACCAAAUAUCUAAGAAUUCGCUUCACCGCCACUAAGUGACACUCCUUAGGAUUGGAUUGAAAUCUAGCACACAUGCAUACGCUAAGCAUAAUAUCCGGUCUACUAGCACAUAAAUAAAGUAAAGACCCUAUCAUUGACCGGUAUGCUUUUUGAUCAACGGACUUACCUCCUUUGUUGAGGUCGGUGUGUCCGUCGGUCCCCAUCGGAGUCUUUGCGGGCUUGGCGUCCUUCAUCCCAAACCGCUUCAGCAGGUCUUGCGUGUACUUUGUUUGGGAGAUGAAGGUGCCGUCCUUGAGUUGCUUCACUUGAAACCCAAGGAAGUAGUUCAACUCGCCCAUCAUCGACAUCUCGAAUUUCUGCAUCAUAACCCUGCUAAACUCUUCACAAGACUUUUGGUUAGUAGAACCAAAUAUUAUGUCAUCGACAUAAAUUUGGCACACAAACAAAUCACCAUCACAUGUCUUAGUAAAAAGAGUUGGAUCGGCUUUCCCAACCUUGAAGGCAUUUGCAAUUAAAAAGUCUUUAAGGCAUUCAUACCAUGCUCUUGGGGCUUGCUUAAGUCCAUAGAGCGCCUUAGAGAGCUUACACACGUGGUCGGGGUACCGUUCAUCCUCGAAGCCAGGGGGUUGCUCUACGUACACCUCCUCCUUGAUUGGCCCGUUGAGGAAAGCGCUCUUCACAUCCAUUUGGAACAACCUGAAAGAAUGGUGAGCGACAUAUGCUAGCAAGAUACGAAUUGAUUCUAGCCUAGCCACAGGAGCAAACGUCUCCUCAAAGUCCAAACCUGCGACUUGGGCAUAACCUUUUGCCACAAGUCGAGCCUUGUUCCUCGUCACCACCCCGUGCUCGUCCUGUUUGUUGCGGAAUACCCACUUGGUUCCCACAACGUUUUGCUUGGGACGAGGCACCAGUGUCCAAACUUCAUUUCGCUUGAAGUUGUUGAGUUCCUCCUGCAUGGCUAACACCCAGUCCGGAUCUAGCAAGGCCUCUUCUACCCUGAAAGGCUCAAUAGAAGAGACAAAGGAGUAAUGCUCACAAAAAUUAACUAAUCGAGAUCGAGUAGUUACUCCCUUGCUAAUAUCACCCAGAAUUUGGUCGACGGGAUGAUCCCUUUGAAUCAUCGCUCGAACUUGGGUUGGAGGUGCCGGUUGUGCUUCUUCCUCCAUCACAUGAUCAUCUUGUGCUCCCCAUUGAUCACACUCCUCUUGAUGAACCUGUUCAUCGUUUUGAGUUGGGGGAUGCAUCAUUGUUGAGGAAGAAGGUUGAUCUUGCUCCAAUUGUUCCUGUGGUCGCACAUCACCAAUCGCCAUGGUGCGCAUAGCGGCCGUUGGAACGUCUUCUUCAUCUAAAUCAUCAAGAUCAACAACUUGCUCUCUUGGAGAGCCAUUAGUCUCAUCAAAUACAACGUCGCUAGAGACUUCAACCAAACCCGAUGAUUUGUUGAAGACUCUAUACGCCUUUGUAUUUGACUCAUAACCUAACAAAAACCCUUCUACAGCUUUGGGAGCAAACUUAGAAUUUCUACCCUUCUUUACUAGAAUGUAGCACUUGCUCCCAAAUACACGAAAGUAAGAUACAUUGGGUUUGUUACCGGUUAGUAGCUCAUACGAAGUCUUCUUGAGGAGGCGAUGAAGGUAGACCCUGUUGAUGGCGUGGCAAGCCAUGUUCACGGCUUCCGACUAGAAACACUCGGGGGUCUUGAAUUCUCCAAGCAUCGUCCUCGCCAUAUCGAUUAGUGUCCUGUUCUUCCUCUCUACCACACCAUUUUGCUGUGGUGUGUAGGGAGCGGAGAACUCGUGCUUGAUCCCUUCCUCCUCAAGGAACUCCUCCACUUGAAGAUUCUUGAAAUCGGACCCGUUGUCGCUCCUUAUCUUCUUCACCUUGAGCUCAAACUCAUUUUGAGCUCUCCUAAGGAAGCGCUUGAGGGUCCCUUGGGUUUCAGACUUAUCCUGCAAAAAGAACACCCAAGUGAAGCGGGAAAAGUCAUCGACAAUAACUAGACCAUACUUACUUCCCCCUAUGCUCAGAUAGGCGACGGGUCCGAAGAGGUCCAUAUGCAGCAGCUCCAGGGGUCUUGAAGUGGUCAUCACAUUCUUGCUGUGAUGCGCUCCUCCCACUUGUUUACCUGCUUGACAAGCUGCACAAGGUCUAUCUUUUUCGAAUUGUACGUUAGUCAAACCUAUCACGUGUUCUCCCUUUAGAAGCUUGUGAAGGUUCUUCAUCCCCACAUGUGCUAAGCGGCGAUGCCACAGCCAGCCCAUGCUAGUCUUAGCAAUUAAGCAUGCAUCUAGACCGGCCUCUUCUUUUGCAAAAUCAACUAAGUAAAGCUUGCCGUCUAAUACACCCUUAAAAGCUAGUGAACCAUCACUUCUUCUAAAGACAGACACAUCUACAUUUGUAAAUAGACAGUUAUAUCCCAUAUUGCAUAAUUGACUAACAGAUAACAAAUUAUAUCCAAGAGACUCUACUAAAAACACAUUAGAGAUAGAGUGCUCAUUAGAAAUUGCAAUUUUACCUAACCCUUUUACCUUGCCUUGAUUCCCAUCACCGAAUAUAAUUGAAUCUUGGGAAUCCUUAUUCUUGACGUAGGAGGUGAACAUCUUCUUCUCCCCCGUCAUAUGGUUUGUGCAUCCGCUGUCGAUAAUCCAGCUUGAACCCCCGGAUGCAUAAACCUGCAAGGCAAAUUUAGGCUUGGGACUUAGGUACCCAACUCUUGUUGGGUCCUACAAGGUUAGUCACAAUUUCCUUAGGGAUCCAAAUGCAAGUUUUAUCACCCUUGCAUUUUGCCCCUAACUUCCUAGCAAUCACCUUUCUAUCCUUUCUACAAAUUGCAAAGGAAGCAUUCAAAGCAUGAUAUAUUGUAGAAGGCUCAUUAACUUUCCUAGGCACAUUAACAACAUUUCUCCUAGGCAUAUUAUGAACAACAUUUCUCCUACCAACGUUCCUAUCAUGCUCAUAGAAAGAACUAGAAGCAACCAUGUCAUGAUAAACAUAUGAAUCAAAAACAUUAUAACUUCUAUUUGCAUUUCUAGUAUGUCUCCUAUCAUGAUACAUAAAAGCAUGGUUCUUUUUAGCACUACCAGCCAUAGGGGCCUUCCCUUUCUCCUUGGCGGAAAUGGGAGCCUUAUGGCUUGUUAAGUUCUUGGCUUCCCUCUUGAAGCCAAGUCCAUCCUUAAUUGAGGGAUGUCUACCAAUCGUAUAGGCAUCCCUUGCAAAUUUUAAUUUAUCAAAUUCGCUUUUGCUAGUCUUAAGUUGGGCAUUAAGACUAGCCACUUCAUCAUUCAAUUUAGAAAUUGAAACUAGGUGUUCACUACAAGCAUCAACAUUAAAAUCUUUACACCUAGUGCAAACCAUAACAUGUUCUACACAAGAGUUAGAUUUACUAGCCACUUCUAGUUUAGCAUUUAAAUCAUUAUUAACACCUUUUAAAGUAGCAAUGGUUUCAUGACAAGAAGAUAAUUCACUAGAAAGCACUUCAUUUCUUUUAACUUCUAAAGCAUAAGAUUUUUGUGCCUCUACAAAUUUGUCAUGCUCUUCAUAUAAAAGAUCCUCUUGUUUUUCUAAGAGUCUAUCCUUUUCAUUCAAGGCAUCAAUCAAUUCAUUAAUCUUUUCUACUUUAGUUCUAUCCAAUCCCUUGAACAAACUAGAGUAAUCUAUUUCUUCAUCACUGGACUCAUCAUCACUAGAAGAAUCAUAAGUGACAUUGUUUUGAUUGCAUACCUUCUUCUCCCUUGCCAUAAGGCAUGUGUGACGCUCGUUGGGGAAGAGGGAUGACUUGUUGAAGGCGGUGGCGGCGAGUCCUUCAUUGUCGGAGUCGGAGGAGAAGCAAUCUGAAUCCCACUCCUUUCCGAUAUGUGCCUCGCCCUUGGCCUUCUUGUAAUGCUUCUUCUUCUCCCUUUUGUUCCCCUUUUCCUGGUCACUUUCAUUAUCGGGACAGUUAGCAAUGAAAUGACCAAUCUUACCGCAUUUGAAGCACGAGCGCUUCUCCUUUGUCUUGGUCUUGCUUGGCUGUCCCUUGCGACCUUUAAGCGCCGUCUUGAAGCGCUUAAUGAUGAGGGCCAUCUCCUCAUUAUUUAGCCCGGCCGCCUCAACUUGCGCCACCUUGCUCGGUAGCGCCUCCUUGCUCCUCGUUGCCUUGAGAGCAAUGGGUUGAGGCUCAUGAAUAGGACCGUUCAACGCGUCGUCCACAUAUCUUGCCUCCUUGAUCAUCAUUCGCCCGCUUACGAACUUCCCCAGAACUUCUUCGGGCGACAUCUUGGUGUACCUAGGAUUUUCACGAAUAUUGUUCACCAAAUGAGGAUCAAGAACGGUAAAGGACCUUAGCAUUAGGCGGACGACGUCGUGAUCCGUCCAUCGCGUGCUUCCGUAGCUCCUUAUUUUGUUGAUAAGGGUCUUGAGCCGGUUGUAUGUUUGAGUUGGCUCCUCGCCCCUUAUCAUUGCGAACCGUCCAAGCUCGCCCUCCACCAACUCCAUCUUGGUGAGUAAGGUGACAUCGUUCCCCUCAUGAGAGAUCUUGAGGGUGUCCCAGAUCUGCUUGGCAUUGUCCAAGCCGCUCACCUUAUGGUACUCGUCCCUGCACAAAGAGGCUAGCAACACAGUAGUAGCUUGUGCAUUUUUAUGAAUCUGUUCAUUAAUAAACAUGGGACUAUCCGUACUAUCAAAGUGCAUUCCACUUUCUACAAUCUCCCAUAUGCUAGGAUGGAGAGAGAACAAGUGACUACGCAUUUUGUGACUCCAAAAUCCGUAGUCCUCUCCAUCAAAAUGAGGAGGUUUACUAAGUGGAAUAGAUAAUAACUGAGCAUUAGUACUUUGAGGAAUACGAGAGUAAUCAAAAGAAAAGUACGAAUUGACCGGUUUCUUUCUCUCGUAUUCGUUGUGGUCGUCGUCCUUUUGGGAGGAAGUAGACUCAUCGCUGUCGUAGUAGACGAUCUCCUUGAUGUGUCUUGUCUUCUUCUUCUUCCCAUCUUUGCGUCUGUGGCCCGAGCCCGAGUCGUUGGACUUGUCAUCCCUUGGCUCGUUGACGAAGGACUCCUUCUCCUUGUCGUUGAUCACGAUUCCCUUCCCUUUAGGAUCCAUCUCUUCGGGCGGUUAGUCCCUUUGUGAAGAGAACGGCUCUGAUACCAAUUGAGAGCACCUAGAGGGGGGGUGAAUAGGUGAUCCUGUGAAACUUGAAAACUUAAGCCACAAAACUUGGUUAAUCGUUAGCACAAUAAUUGCCAAGUGGCUAAAUAGGAAUCCUCAACAAAAUACAAUAACCAACAAAGAUCAAUCACAGAGAUGACACGGUGGUUAUCCCGUGGUUCGGCCAAGACCAACGCUUGCCUACUCCACGUUGUGGCGUCCCAACGGACGAGGGUUGCAAUCAACCCCUCUCAAGCGGUCCAAAGACCCACUUGAAUACCACGGUGUUUUGCUUUGCUUAUCUUUAUCCCACUUGCGAGGAAUCUCCACAAAUUGGAGUCUCUCGCCCUUACACUUAAAGUUCACAAAGAAGCACGGAGUAAGGGAGGGAAGCAACACACACAAAUCCACAGCAAAAUGCGCACACACACGGCCAAGAAUCGAGCUCAAAAGACUAUCUCAAAGUUCUCACUAGAACGGAGCUCGAAUCACUGAGAAUGACAAACGAAUGCGCAAAGACUGAGUGUGGAUGAUCAAGAAUGCUCUAAGGUUGCUUGGUUUUUCUCCUCCAUGCGCCUAGGGGUCCCUUUUAUAGCCCCAAGGCGGCUAGGAGCCGUUGAGAACAAAUCUGGAAGGCCAUCCUUGCCUUCUGUCGUCGGGCGCACCGGACAGUCCGGUGCACACCGGACACUGUCCGGUGCCCGAUUUCCUUCCUUAAAUGGCGAAGCCGACCGUUGCAGAUGUGGGAGCCGUUGGCGCACCGGACAUGUCCGGUGCACACCAGACAGUCCGGUGCCCCCUUCCGACCGUUGGCUCGGCCACGUGUCGCGCGCGGAUUCCGCGGCCGACCGUUGGCCCGGCCGACCGUUGGCUCACCGGACAGUCCGGUGCACACCGGACAGUCCGGUGAAUUUUAGGCGUACGUCGCCGGUGAAUUCCCGAGAGCGGCCAGUUCGCUCGAGCCAGCAUGGCGCACCGGACACUGUCCGAUGCACCACCGGACAGUCCGGUGCCCCAGACCGAAACAGCCUCUUGGCUGUACACAGCCAACUCUUCUCUUUCCUUCUUCUUUCUGUUUCUGAUACUUAGACAAGUAUAUUAGUACACAAAACCAAUGUACUAAGACUUAGAAACAUACCUUUGCUCUUGAUUUGCACUUUGUCCAUUCAUGGGCAUAGAUUUACAUUUAAGCACUUGUGUUGGCACUCAAUCACCAAAAUACUUAGAAAUGGCCCAAGGGCACAUUUCCCUUUCAUGGAUAAAUAAGUGGGGGUGAGCAAUAAAUUUCAUCCUAGAUUUAGAAGGAAUAAAUAUAUCACUAAAUACGUUUUUUUUUACAAUGGCAAGUUAAUCAGGUGGGAGCGAGAAACAAUUCUAGCGAGGCUAGGUUGUACUAGCCCAAAAUUACAUACAACAGAGGAAAAAUGAAGAAAAUGAUGGUCUACCAAAUAUGGCGCAUGAGCCUUAAGGUGCACCUAGAGGGAAGUAGAAGAAUAAAUAUAUAAUAGCAUAUGUUUUUCGCAAUGCAAGGUAAAGUGUAGAUGUGCUCUAACUGGGCUUAGAUUGCAGCGACACAUUAUGCAUCUACAAGGCUUGGUUGCACAUGGAAAAAGAUAGAGAGAGAAAUGUAGACGCAGGACCGGGAGAAAACAUUCAAUGAGACGUGAUUGCACGGACAUAGAACUAGAUAUAAGACAAGAGUUAAAGAAAAAAAGGAACUAAAUUUUCUUGUGCACACUAAGCAUGAAUGGAGUUGUAGUAUCUGAGAUCAAAAUUUAAUUUAUUCCAAGAUGCAGAACAAAAACGUGAUAUUCGUAAUGGUUACAUAGGAACAAAAGUAGAUAAGAAAAAUAGCAAAAAGAUAGUGGUCUACCAGAGAGGGCACAUGUGCCUCAAUUGGCCUAUAGCAUAGUGGCUCAUUAUCCUUCCACCGCUGGUGGCGGGCGGUACUCGCUGCUCUGUGAAGCCAGCCUCACGCAAUGUCCGCCACUUUAGGUGUUGGGAUGCAAAGGCUUUCGCCAAGGCAUCCGAAACCCACUACACAACUUGGAAUGGGUGGUCCACAAUUUGUAGCACUAGACCCAUACACAUGCACCACAAUUGAUAUCCACACUACCUUAUUGCCCCCGCUCGGGUUACAAGCAAUCGCUACUUGCUCAGCGAGUGAGGGGGUUCAGGACUACCUAUUUAAGGUGGUGUUGUACUCUAUGAGCCGGCGAUGUGGUAUUUACCAACUACAAAUAGUGUCAUGCAUGUGACUUGCUAGUUGACAAAGUCUGUUGUCGAGCUAGAUGUAGGCUAUGGAUGAAGCACAUUACGAUAUAGUAGGCCUAUUUUGUUUUUUGUUGUUUUUGGGCCACUAUGGACUUUAUGUUGAUGUUGUGAAAUUUUUUCUUGUGUUUCCUCUUCCUACGAUGUCGAAAGUGGGUGCGUCAGAGAAGAAAGAAAGUGUGGGUUGCAUUGAUUUUACGUCAUACCAUUGAGAACACUAAUCAGAACCAGAAGCAACAAUAUUUCAUACAUAUACAACACUUGUAAUCCAUAUAAACAACUUUCCUUUAAAAUAUCAUAUAAACCACAUGAUUUAUAUCCUGGGUCGGUUAUCUCCACAAAGGGCAAGAAAACGCUCCAAGUUUGUAGUAUAGAACUAAAAGUGUCGACUCUCACGAUUUCUUCCCGACAUAUGCAAACUAGACAAUAAUCACAUAAAAUAAAGAAAUAUGUGUUAACACAAACUUAUAGCAUGUAUUUCAACAUAUAGAUUUUUUAUUAUUAUGGUAGAUUAUAUAAUAUAGGGGUUCCCGAAGAAAUACAUAAAAAACAAGAGCAUUAAAAUUUCCUUUUCAGAUCUGGCUAACUGGUAAAGGGAGUUGGAGUAUCUGAGUUUCCAAAUUUGGGACGUCGCUCUAUAGAAGGAAUAUAAAUACAUUGGAAAAAAAUUCUACAAGGAAAGGUUUAAUACAAGUAGGGCUAAGAAAAACUCAAUGAGGCUUUGGUCGCAUGGUCACAAGACUUGAGACAAGAAACACGAAGACACCAAGGUAAUUAGUAUGAGAGUUUUCCAAAUUUGGUGUCUUGAUGUAGAAAAAAUAAAUAUAUGACAAACAUGUAUUUUCGCAAGGCAUGGUAAAAUAAGUGGGAGUGAGCAAUAAAUUUCAUCCUAGAUUUAGAAGGAACAAAUAUAUCACUAAAUACAUUUUUUCACAAUGCCAAGUUAACCAGGCGGGACCGAGAAACAAUUCUAGCAAGGCUAGGUUGUACUAGUCCGAAACUACGUACAACAAAGGAAAAAUGAAGAAAAUGAUGGUCUACCAAAUAUGGCGCAUGAGCCUUAAGGUGCACCUAGAGGGAAGUAGAAGAAAUAAAUAUAUAAUAGGAUAUGUUUUUCGCAAUGCAAGGUAAAAUGUAGAUGUGCUCUAACUGGGCUUAGAUUGCAGCGAUACAUUAUGCAUCCACAAGGCUUGGUUGCACAUGGAAAAAGAUAGAGAGAGAAAUGUAGACGUAGGACCAGGAGAAAAACAUUCAAUGAUACAUUAUUGCACGGACAUAGAACUAGAUAUAAGACAAGAGUUAAAGAAACAUAAAGGAACUAAAUUUUCUUUUGCAUACUAAGCAUGAAUGGAGUUGUAGUAUCUGAUAUAAAAAAUUAAUUUAUUCCAAGAUGCAGAACAAAAUUGUGAUACUCGUAAUGGUUACAUAGGAACAAAAGUAGAUAAGAAAAAUAGCAAAACGAUAGUAGUCUACCAGAGAGGGCACAUGUGCCUCAAUUGGCCUAUAGCAUAGCGGCUCAUUAUCCUUCCACCGCUGGUGGCGUGCGGUACUCGCUGCUCUGUGAAGCCAGCCUCACGCAAUGUCUGCCACUUUAGGUGUUGGGAUGCAAAGGCUUUCGCCAAGGCACCCGAAACCCACUACACAACUUGGAAUGGGUGGUCCACAGUUUGUAGCACUAGACCUAGGCACAUGCACCACAAUUGACAUCCACACUACCUUAUUGCCCCCGCUCGGGUUACAAGCAAUCGCUACAUGCUCAGCGAGUGAGGGGGUUCAGGACUACCUAUUUAAGAUGGUGUUGUACUCUAUGAGCCGGCGGUGUGGUAUUUACCAACUACAAAUAGUGUCAUGCAUGUGACUUGCUAGUUGACAAAGUCUGUUGUCGAGCUAGAUAUGGGCUAUGGCUGAAGCACAUUAGGAUAUAGUAGGCCUAUUUUUGUUUUUGUUGUUUUUGGGCCACUAUGGACUUUAUGUUGGUGUUGUAAAAUUUUUUCUUGUGUUUCCUCUUCCUAUGAAGUGGAAAGUGGCUGCGUCAUAGAAGAAAGAAAGAGUGGCAAGCAUUGAUUUUACGUCAUCCCAUUGAGACCAGUAACCAAAAGCAGAAGCAACAAUAUUUCAUACAUAUACAACAAUUGUAAUCCAUAUAAACAACUUUCCUUUAAAAUAUAAUAUAAACCACAUGCUUUAUAUCCUGGGUCGGAUAUCCCCAUAAUAGGAUAUGUUUUUUGCAAUGCAAGGUAAAGUGUAGAUGUGCUCUAACUGGGCUUAGAUUGCAGCGACACGUUAUGCAUCCACAAGGCUUGGUUGCACAUGGAAAAAGAUAGAGAGAGAAAUGUAGACACAGGACGAGGAGAAAAACAUUCAACGAGACGUGAUUGCACGGAUAUAGAACUAGAUAUAAGACAAGAGUUAAAUACAAAUAAAUGAACUAAAUUUUCUUUUGCACACUAAGCUUGAAUGGAGUUGUAGUAUCUCAUAUCAAAAUUUAAUUUAUUCCAAGAUACAGAACAAAAAUGUGAUACUCCUAAUGGUUACAUAGGAACAAAAGUAGAUAAGAAAAUUAGCAAAAAGAUAGUGGUCUACCAGAGAGGGCACAUGUGCCUCAAUUGGCCUAUAGCAUAGCGGCUCAUUAUCCUUCCACCGCUGGUGGCGGGCGGUACUCGCUGCUCUGUGAAGCCAGCCUCACGCAGUGUCCGCCACUUUAGGUGUUGGGAUGCAAAGGCUUUCGCCAACGCACCCGAAACCCACUACACAAGUUGGAAUGGGUGGUCCACAGUUUGUAGCACUAGACCCAGGCACAUGCACCACAAUUGACAUCCACACUACCUUAUUGCCCCCGCUCGGGUUACAAGCAAUCGCUACU
rnacentral:lncRNA from 1 species